rnacentral:rRNA from 1 species
ACGAACGCUGGCGGCGUGCUUAACACCUGCCAGUCGCACGGAAAGGCCCUGCUUUUGUGGGGUGCUCGAGUGGCGAACGGGUGAGUAACACGUGAGUAACCUGCCCUUGACUUUGGGAUAACUUCAGGAAACUGGGGCUAAUACCGGAUAGGAGCUCCUGCUGCAUGGUGGGGGUUGGAAAGUUUCGGCGGUUGGGGAUGGACUCGCGGCUUAUCAGCUUGUUGGUGGGGUAGUGGCUUACCAAGGCUUUGACGGGUAGCCGGCCUGAGAGGGUGACCGGCCACAUUGGGACUGAGAUACGGCCCAGACUCCUACGGGAGGCAGCAGUGGGGAAUAUUGCACAAUGGGCGGAAGCCUGAUGCAGCAACGCCGCGUGCGGGAUGACGGUCUUCGGGUUGUAAACCGCUUUCGCCUGUGACGAAGCGUGAGUGACGGUAAUGGGUAAAGAAGCACCGGCUAACUACGUG